rnacentral:ncRNA from 1 species
AAAAACAAGAGUUUGAUCCUAGCUCAAAACGAACACUAGUUAUAUGCUUAACAAAUGAAAGUCAAACGUGGCUUGCUUCGCCAUCCAUACAUGUGGGGGCAGAAGGGCAAGAGGAAUGACCCCCUCGUAUCUCGUUCUCACUCACUCAAAUGAUAUUCAAGUGGUGCGUCAGGCAUGGGGCAUAGCAAGAAAAGUGGCGAAUGGGUGCAUAGCGCAUGGGAAUCUGUUGAACAGUUCACUCCAAAUCCUGAAUAAUUCAUAAAGAAAGCUAAUUUGCAUUGUUUGAUGAGCCCACGUAGUAUCAGAUAGUUUGUUAGGUAAAGGAUGACCAAUCCAAUGAUGCUUAGUUGGUCUUUUCAGAUGAUCAGCCACACUGGAACUGAGACACGACCCAGACUCCCUUGGGAGGAAGUAAUGGGGAAUAUUGGACAAUGAGCUCAUGCCCGAUCCAACAAUAUCACAUUGGUGAAAAAGGGCAUUGUUGCUUGUUAAGAUAUUUCAUUGAGUUUUGAUCAUGAUAGGACUCAAGGAAGAAGCCUUGGCUAACUCCAUGCCAGCAUUCGCGAUAAGAUAGUGGGUUAAGUGUUAUUCAAAGUGACUGGACAUAAAGGGCACUUAGGAGGUGAAAAGGGUGGAAAGUGAAAGUCACCAAAGCACUCACAGGGUGUUUUCUUUACCAUUUCACUUGAGUGAGAUAGGGGAGACUAUAAUUUCAUGUGGAUGGAUAAAAUCCUAAGAUAUAUGAAGGAACACCAACUGCGAAGGCAUCUCUUUGGGUCCCCACUGACGUUGGGGUGCAAAAUCAUAGGGAGCAAACAUGAUCAGAUAACCUGGUAGUCUAUGUCAUAAGCGAUGAGUGUUCAUCCUUGGUCUGCCUGCCUACUAGGUAGGAUUAGGAUCA